AAUAUUCAAUAAGAAAAAAAUGGAAUAAAUUACAAUGACCUACUUCGACAUUUGGCCUAAAUAUAAAUAAAUUUGAUAUUAGUUAUUUUUUUGCAAAGACUUCCUUGUGUCAAAUGUAGUUAUUUUUUGGAGUGAUGUCAUUAACCUACCCUUAUUAUUAUAUUGUUAAAAAAAAAAAAAAAAAAAAAAUGUCCGUGAAUUGAAAAUGAUCAUUUUUCUCACUACAUUGGCCUUACAAUUGGCCAAAUUAUGUAUGGGACAGAGUAUUUGGAACGGUUUAAAAAUUGUCUCAGAGUCUGGUUUUUGGGACAACGAAGUUGUUAACCCACUUUCUCUCUCUUCUCAUUAUCAUCUCUCUCACUCUACAACUUAACCUAAUGUCAUAUAUCGUCUAUCUACUCUCUCUGUACAGCCGACGCCGCACCAGUUGCAACUAUUUCACGCCGGCCAGGUCGGCUUGCCACACUCUUCUCGGCUUGGAGCGACAUACAUACGAAAAACAAAGGCUAAGAAGGAAUUCAUUUGUAGAAGCAUAGUGAGGAGGAUUGAUUGAAUUUGGAAGGUCUGCUUUUUCGCUGCUUCUAAUUUCUCUCAUGUCAAUCGGAGCUCACUCUCUCUCUCUCUCUCUCGAUCGGUGAUCGGUGAUUGAAAUCGACAACUAUCCGAAAAAAUGGUGGCCCAAUCAUUAGAUCCAUCUGUUUAUGUGGAUGCUAGUAGUUUCAGUCCUGGUGGAUGAGCAGAUUUUGGAGAACUGUCUUGGAACAGGAAAGGGUACAUAUUUCCGUGGCUUGGGUUAUGGAAAGAAGGCUCCUUCAGCAUCCUCAAGACCUAAGAGGAAGGCAAAUGCAGAGUGGGAGGCAGAGUUGAAGCUGAAAGGAGGAAGUCUAAUAGAGCUGAACAAAAAUGUGAUGAAAUGUUGGAAUCCAUAAAUGAUUUGAAGGCAACAGUGAAAGGUAUCUUGGAGAAUCAAAGGGUGUCUUCUCCUCAAUUCAUGUUCACACCAUUCGGCGGAUAUCGUCCUGCACUUGGCAGCCCACAGCAGCAGCAACCUCCUUAUGGAUCUUUUGGCAGCCUAUUAAAUAAUCCGCAGCCACCGAAGUUUGGCCUAUAUGGUCUGUACACAUCACUUAACCCCGACUCACCAACAAAUGACGAAUGAUUCCAACUAUGUUAUUGAUUUUUACAUAUAAUGCUAUUAGGUGUUGAUUUGACCAUAAUUGAUAUCACUUUGUUUUUUAAUUAAUGGUUAUUAAAUUUAUUUUUUUGUAUUAA